AGGAAGCACCGGCUAACUCCGUGCCAGCAGCCGCGGUAAUACGGGGGGUGCAAGCGUUGUUCGGAAUUAUUGGGCGUAAAGCGCGUGUAGGCGGUUUGUUAAGUCUGAUGUGAAAGCCCUGGGCUCAACCCAGGAAGUGCAUUGGAAACUGUCAGACUUGAAUACGGGAGAGGGUAGUGGAAUUCCUGGUGUAGGAGUGAAAUCCGUAGAUAUCAGGAGGAACACCGGUGGCGAAGGCGGCUACCUGGACCGAUAUUGACGCUGAGACGCGAAAGCGUGGGUAGCAAACAGGAUUAGAUACCCUGGUAGUCCACGCCGUAAACGAUGAGUACUAGGUGUCGCGGGUAAAUCG
rnacentral:rRNA from 1 species